rnacentral:rRNA from 1 species
CACGUAGUUAGCCGGGGCUUCUUAGUCAGGUACCGUCUUUUUUCUUCCCUGCUGAUAUAGCUUUACAUACCGAAAUACUUCUUCACUCACGCGGCGUCGCUGCAUCAGGGUUUCCCCCAUUGUGCAAUAUUCCCCACUGCUGCCUCCCGUAGGAGUUUGGGCCGUGUCUCAGUCCCAAUGUGGCCGUUCACCCUCUCAGGCCGGCUACUGAUCGUCGCCUUGGUAGGCCGUUACCCCACCAACCAGCUAAUCAGACGCGGGCUCAUCUUAUACUACCGGAGUUUUUCACACAGAAACAUGCGUCCCCGUGCGCUUAUGCGGUAUUAGCAGUCAUUUCUAACUGUUAUCCCCCUGUAUAAGGCAGAUUACCCACGUGUUACUCACCCGUCCGCCGCUAAGUCAAUUUCGAUUCCAUCCGAAAACUUCCUCAAAAUCGCUUCGCUCGACUUGCAUGUGUUAGGCACGCCGCCAGCGUUCAUCCUGAGCCAGGAUCAAACUCU